CCGCUCCGAUGAGAUCAGAUUUGUGUCACGUGUCCGGGCCAACGAUGAUCGCUGAUGGCAUCCAGGAACUGUGUAU